CAGAAGCUGUAACCCGGAACGCAGAAUGAGGGAUGAAUAACUCUUUAUUGCCCUGUAAAUAUCUGGUGACUCGAAGGGGAGCAGAGUUUCUGUGGCAGCUGGAUAGAGUGGACCGGAGCCUGAACUCGUCUUGGGAAGAUGAGGUCGAGUGAAGGAUCAGGUCCAUCUGCCACAUUCCAACCUGGGUCCUUCGCCUCCUAUCUUCUACUUUCAGCCACACUCCAUCCACUGGCCUCACUGUUUGGAUCUUCGUCGCCGUGUCGGAUCUACACUACAGCGCUGCUAGACCACGGACAAUAAACUGUAAAUCUUCAA